ensembl:lncRNA
AGAAUAGAAAUCCAUUCCCACCCACAUUUCAGCCACACUGACGCAAAACCACAGGCAAAUGGUUUUGGUAUUGUGAUGUUCAGCCUUUUUCACAUCCUGGAUGUGGUUUAACAUCCCAAAGUUGGCUGUAGUAGGAAGCGUACGUUGAGCCAGAUUUUUCCUCAGAAUGUGCAACUCUCCUCGUGACUUAUCUCCCCACAUUUCAGUUCAUCUAACUUAUGAAUACAACAAGCACUGCACUAAUUUGGACAUUGUACCAUCAUACAGUGUUCACAAAUGAUUAUAGAGCAAUUCUGUUUUCAGCAUUGAUGGAACGGAUAAGCAGUCAGAAAGAAUAAAGUAGAGUCCUGCUGGUGUGAGCUGAAGAUCACUGAAGUCAAUAUUCUCACAUAACGGUUAAAUGCUAAGUAAGGUAGGAGUGUGUACAAUCUGGAGCUUUUUUUUUUUAGCUUUACUCUCCUUCUGGGUGAAAUAGCACCAUAGAUUAGAAGGGCAAAUUACAGGAUGGAUGCCCUUCAUGGCUUAUUUCUCUGACAACAAGCUUUACUAUAUGUGGCCUCCUCCAACUCAGUGAGAAGUUUUCUAAUGUUUGUCUGCCUAUUAUUGCUAUUUACUAGUUGUAAUUGUCAUCUGAAAUGAUGAGUAUUUACUGUUCUCAGUUAUUUGCUGCUUCACUGAAAACAGAACAGUCAUUGGAGUCAUUAAGGGCUUCUUCAUCAAUCCAUUAAAUAAUAAAAAGAAUCAGAGCCCGAAUAUAAAAGAUGAGAUUUUGCUGACCUGAUUGUCAGCUGGAAAUGCGAGCAAAUCGUACCCACUGGACAUCAUAGUCAUGCUAACAAAAGGUUUUUAGGCACAUGCAAAAAUGUAGAUAGCCAAAUGUUCUUAUGUUGUGUCUCUGGAGGAAUAUUGCAGCUGGGCUUGGACAAGAGUCUUCUACUGAUUUAUACUGCAUGUCCUUUAUGGAUGGUUGCUCGCAUACGUACAGUGUCAAUAAUUUUAGUGUAGACAAUCCCAUUCAGUAUUUUCUCCCUGUUAAUGCGUUUCCUUCCAGCUGAAAUACUUCAGCUUCUUGGAUCAAAAUUGUCUUUCAAAUUAAAUAGCUGACUUCAUUCCCCCCCCCCCCCCCCCAAACAUUUCUAAUGGUGCGGAAUGGGCACGGUGGGAAGAGGCUAUAGAGGGAAGAAGAAGUUAGGCAGGGAGCGUCAGUGGGUGACCUCCUUGGAUGGCAGCUUCACCACAAGGAGCUCCAGGACAGCCUUUUCUUUGUCUCUACAGAGCAGAAGCAAAGCAACAAACUCCCUCUUUUUUUUUUUUUUUUUCUUUUUUCUUUCUUUUCCUGAGGACGAAUCACUUCCAAGUACAUCUGGUUGAGCAUGAAGAAUGAGAAUAUGAAUACAGGCAAUUAUGAUGGAGUAGAGGCCUUGUAAAUUUAUACUCAAGCUUACCCCCUGGUAACUCAUUCAUCUGCGUGUCUUGACAGGAUGCAUGUGAAAUAGUGGGACAAUAAAAGCUGUUGUAAUGCUGAAAGAUGCUAAUAGCUGGCCUCAGGGUGAGCUGGGUUUUCAAGACAAUCACAGAUAAUACAGAUAACACAGUGGAAGCAUUAGACUCAAGAGAAUGAGCUCUCAAGCCUUUAUUCUGUAAAAUAGAGAGACAUAGGCUAUCUCAAAGGAGGGAUGUCCUAGAGGUGUAGAUUUUACAGGAUCUUAUUUUUAUGGAGCAGUACUUUGCAAAACUAUGGGCUAUCUGAAUCUGCUUGCACUUAUGGAAAUGCACAGCAAACAAAGCCAUAGACAAUUGUUCCUUAACAGGAGUAGGUCUGAAGGUGUUGGAAUUGACCCCUUUGACAGGGUGGCACCCAGCCUGUCUGCCACCCAGCCUGUCUGCCACAUUGAGAACAAAAAGAAAAGCUUAACAAGGAAAUAUGCUCUGUAACUACUUUGGCAGCCUUUGAAUAGUUAGAGAUAUUUCAGAAAAAAAAAAAAUCCUCUAAAAAUUCAGUAUUUUGGAAAUACAGAUCUGUCCCAAGGAACUGCUCAACAAUGAAACUCCUUUUCUGUCUUCCUUCCAUCUCUUCUCUAUAUCUCACAGGGAAGACAGUGUUGUAAUCAGAGGACUAACUGGGAGUAAAUGUUUAUAAGGCUGUGGAUGUUUUUGGAUAUGCCCAUAAUCUGAGUUUUGAUCAGCUUGGUUCUGUGUGAAUGUGGACUCCUUUCCAAGGUGAUGCUUUUGUGAGAAAGCUUAGGAACAGACAACUAGAAUGAAUUCACUCCCAGGUGCUGAGGCAAAUCCGCAAAAAUGUUUUGGAUUUUGAGGGUAUUUCAUUUAAUCUAAACGUGCAGCAGUGUUGAAAGAAGGUUUGUUUCCCAUCCCUCUGUAUGCUGCAAGCUAAAAAAGCCCUUUCCAGACCUUACACCACAGCUGUAACGCAUAAUGACCUCAACAGUUCUCUGCCUGAGGAAGAACAAAAGGACAUCCUAAGGGAAAACGCGCAGAUGAUCCUACGAAGUACUUGCACUGCAAUUUAGACACAGGACUAGAGGCAGAAUGCUGGGUGAGCAAGCAAGAAUCCUGGACUUCCUAAGGUAGUGCUGUUUCUUGUAGCCGAGACCCACCAAUGUGAUGGGGCAAACUGGUAGCACUUAACAUAUCACAACCUUUGCAGGGAAAAAUGAAGUGCCAGUCCCGAAUGCUGCACAAGUGACCAUGGAUGUAGAAUGGUGCACGUUUUGUUCUGGGCAUCCUUAUUGAAUAGUGACAUCAUCAGAGGUGCUCGAUUGAUCCGUGAUUUGAGGAGAAACUGCUUGGACUUGAUCCUCCCUUUGUCCUUCCACAGAGAAACAAAUGCUGCGGUGUUCAGCUCUUUCACUGGCAGCUGUCAUACUGAAGAGAACUCACAUGUUAGGAAGAGGUGUUCAGGAAGAAUGUAAGCAAAUGCAUGAACUGAAACACAGCCCGUUCUAUUGCCUCUGUCCUAAGGUGUCAAAUUAGGGCUCAGUUUUGUAAUCAUAGUUAUGUAUCUGAGGGGGACACAAACAACAUCUAGCACAACCAUUUGUGGUCUUCAGCUGCAGGAUGACAUAGCUAACAGUAAUAACCAUUCAUGGGCAGUCUUGUUGCCUUCCUAAAGCCAGCACUGCACUGCAACAUCAGCACUGAGAUAAAAUGCUCAGGAAUGGGACUCCUGGGGAUUUAGAGAGCAACUGAUGGACUCCAGGUUAGAUCCUGGGACUGCUUCCCUGCAUGGACAGCAUGGAGCAUGUGAGCGUGGCAAUCCAAACUGCUUAGCACUAUCUUAAUCACAGAUUGUCAUGUAGUAUUGGUGAGUUAGGUACCCAAGGGAGAAGACCUGAACCACAACUCCUUUGUGUUUCAGGGCCGGGGAUAAUACACCUUCUUAUAGGUUCAUCUUCAGCUCAUGUAUUGCUGACAUCUUGCUGAGAGAAACAUAGCAAAUAGCAAGAAUCAUCCCAGAGGGCAUCUGUUGGCAGCUGUAUACACAGGACUACGUUGGUGUUCACAAAGCAUUUUUCCAAUUUUGCAAAUUGAUUCAGAGAUGAAAUUUCAUGAGCGUUUGUUGACACUCGCAUAUAGCAGAUGGAUUUGUAAAUGGGCUCUGCAAAGAUGAUUGAAAAACAACCCCCCAUCCCCGCUGCAUCCAUUGGUCUUGUACAAUCCCAUGGCGUUCUCUGGGCUGACAUGUGACAGGAGGUAAGCAUGGCUCUUUGGAGCUGUGAGCCUCCCUGUCCCCCUAAAGCAGAUGCUCCCCUGUCAGAUCCCAGCCCAGCACAGUGCUGGGACCAGAUUUCUGGUUUUCAAUUAAGAUUCAAACAUCACAAUGAUAGAGUCCUCCUAAUCCUUCUACAAAGGUGUGUGCAGUUAAUCAAACUGCAAUGCCGUGGGCUCCGGGUGGCUUUGUUUAACAUCAGCUUAGUCAUAAAUCUCUGGGGGAUAUGUUCACCUGCUUGGCAUGUGCAAUGUGCUUGCAGCGCUCGCAGAGGGACAAGGCUGCUCCUGGUUGGGUUGUAGGGCAGGUGCACCAGCUGUGCUGCCUAACAUAGCCUUUUAAUAGCUGCUGGGAGGAAGAGGAGCCCUUGGCCUUCCUUUUGUGCAGAUGAACAUAUGUCCAUCAGGGAGAUGGGGAGUUGGGGAGUGAUUUAUUAAAAACUAGGAUUUGUCAAGCAACAGGCUGAGGAAAAACGAUCACAUUUUUGUAAGCUAGCCAGUUUUAAGAUCCUUUAGUAUGUCUCCAUUGAAGCCUUCAGGAGUAUUGUGGUGAUUAGGUCCGAGAGAACACAGUGAAGGUUUGGCCAUGGGAAUUUUCCCACUUUCCCAGAACUUGUGCCCCAGUGGAAAGUGACAGAGGAAUGGUUAUCAAGGCUAGAGAAGUCCCCCCGGCCAGUUAUGCUUGUCCUGCUACAGGUUUGCAUUAUCAGAGAUGCUUUCCUAGAACCCUUUAUAGACGGAGAGGGCAGUGUUAAUUUUGGAUGCAUAUGCAAGGCCAAAUCCUGGUUUGGUGAUACCAAUGUAAAGCUGAAAUUAAUUAUUAUUUUCAAUUAAAGCAAGCUCUAGGCAGUAAUAAUGGGAGCAAAAACGAACGUAAGGUUCACUUAUGGAUGAAGGGAAAAAUGCAUCCUUGCAGUAUGAGAAAGAAAAACCUGAUAUCCUACCCCAAUCCCUCUGUGUAUGGUUUGGCUGUGUGUUUGCACUCAUCUGUCUCUAUGAGUCACAAUAACUCCUCACCACAUGCACAGCUCCGGUAUGGAUGUGGAUGGUAAUAACCCAUCAGCAUGCACUGAAUCUAUCACUUAAGCAUAAGAGCUUAACUCCCUUAUGCCUCAGAGUGUGUUUCAGGGGGUAAGACUGAAAUGAAAUCCCCUCUGUGUCCCUGUGUCAGAAUAUAUACACACACACACACACAUAUAUAUAUAUAUGUGUAUAUAUAUAAGUGUUUCUGUGUUCUCAUAUUACCUCAGAGUGUUUCUUGUGUGAUUCAGGGCUAGUAGGCACAAAAGCAGUAUUGAAGAUUAAUUUCAUUUAAUUCUGGCAAUAAAGAGCAUUGCAGGCACAAGAGGUUUGCCAUCAAUGUUGGAGGGCAUUAAGUAUUUGGUUUUUUUUUUAGUUGCAAGAUAAUAAUGUCCUGGUGUAAAUGUUUUAUAAUGAUCUCAUGAAUUAUUCACACUUAACUUGAUAACCUGAUGUUUUAUGGGAUAUGGUCUCUAGAGUACAAGGGGCGGGGAGGGGGAUUUUAAAAUAAAUAAAUAAGAAGAUAAGCCCCAGCUGCAACAACCAGAAAGCACUGAGACCUCUGGUUUGUUUUCUGUCUGCACUGAAGGGUGGUUUCAUUCUUGCAGUUAUAUUUUUUGUGAUGAUGAGCCACAGAAUGUGAGCGAGUGAGUGAGGUUAUUUUCUAUAUAUGCUAAAGGAAAAGAGAAAGGAAUCAACCACCCUUCACUGUUUGUUUAAUCUGGAAGUGGUGUUUGAACACUUCACCUAUUGUUAUGGAGCUCAGGGGUUCUGUUAUUGUUGAUAACAUUCCCAUUUGUUGAAGCAUUAGCACAAACUGAUGCGGAUUUUCCUUUAUGCAUACUUCUGUGCCUUUUCCCUCCUUCCCAUUCCCUUCUCUUCAUCUCCCAUUCUUUCAUCCUUACUCUCAUUCUCUUUCUUUAUUCCUUUUCCUUUUUUUCCUAUUUUCUUUUCAGUCCUGGUUCUUCUGGGUUGUUUUUUCCUCCUUUUUCUCCGUGCCUUUUUCAUUUCUUUUCAUCUUUCAGCAUUUUCUUCUGUCUACAAUUUUCUCUUUGUUUUCUCUAUUGCUAACAGGGUUUUAAUAUUUGCUGAAGCCCACGGGCCUUAACCUAAAUAAGCUGCAGAAAGAGUCAGACCCAGAGAAGAGUUGCUGUGAUUUAAUUAAACUUGGUGACAGCUUCUGGAAGAAAAGUGCUGAAGCUGACACUCAGACAUCCAAUCUGAAUGUCUAUCAGCCCUUGAUAUCCCAGAUGCACUAGAAACAAAUGCAGUAACUUCAUUGACAUACCCUAGAGAUAAAUGGCAGAACAUACACAGCAAAGAUAUAGAGAAGAGUUCAUAGUGACAAUGCAAGCGAUGUCUCUUCUAUGGAGAACAAAAGCCUAUUGCAGACUUCAAGUUCUUCUCUCUGUGGGCAGAGGAGGGGGAGCAAUACUGCAUUUGGGAUGGCUAGCCUGAGUCACCCGAGCGACGUGGCACCCAGGUGCUUGCAGUAUUGAGGUUUAUCGCACAGGUGUUUCAGCGAAGAGGUUUCAUCAGUCAGGGAUACGUGUGUUUUUUUCAAAGGAACUCCGGGGGGGUCUCGGUGUGCUUUUAAAUUUUGAAGAGGAAAUUUGGAGAGCAAUUUGGAGAGUGGCUGGUGAGACGUGAGCCAUCGUAGGCAGAUGGAUUCAUAGGCAGGACUUUUUAUAGAAUGACUUUGAAAGAAUGGUCCAACCAACUUGCUUCAUGCAUUUAUUUAAAUCUAUGCUACAAAGUGAAGAGCAGAAGAAAGCUAAAAUUUGCAUGGCUUGUUUUUCUUCUUUUUCCCAACCUUAUUUUAUUUAUUAAAUCACUCUGAAUUAUGCCUUCCAAAGGACACUUUUCCCCUUGUUGUUUAUUAUACCUUCAUCAGCCUUGAAAUGGGAGCUGCAGGCAGCUUGAUAAAUGGAUUGAAAAGCUGCUUCUGCCAGCAUCAAACAAACAAAACCCCAAUAUCCAUAAAACCUUCUGUUUUAGAAACGCUAAAACAAGCACUAUUUCCCUCUGAGCUGCGCUAAAGAAUGAUGUGCCCGUAUCCCUCACUGUUUAUAGGGUAUUUUCAUCCAGUUGUGCCCAGAGCAGAAGUUCAUUACUGCAUCGUGGCCAGGACUCAGCCUGCAGCAGUGGGAGCAGGGGCAGCUGGCUAUGAUGGGAGAGAGCGAGACAGUGCUAGGAAGGCUGAGCAAAUAUUGACUUAGACUCUGAAAUGCAUGGGGCAAAUCAGCCAAGAUGUCUGAAGUUGGGUCCUGCUUCCACCAUGUUCGACCAUUGGAUUGGCCUGGUAACAAACCAGGACUUCAUCUACUGUGGUGUGUUGGUAAAGGUGCAAGUCUCUACACCUGCUCUUGAAGGAGAUAAGAGUUGGGUCAUGACUUGGAGAAAUAAGAAAAGCAAAAAGGAGGAGGAACAUGAUUUCCUUUGCAGGUGACAGCUUUGGCUGGUGCAGUUCAGUGGCAGAGCUGUGGCUUUGGGAUUAGCACAGUGUUAUCCUGUGCCUGAAUUGCCCCUGGCCUGGGAGAACCUUUGUGAUGCCUUGAGCCUCCACUGGAAAGUGCUCAGAGACAUAGAUGGUAUGAAAAACAGCACAUUCAAGCCAGAAAGAGGACAGGAAAGAGGACUGCAGAAGGGACCAGAAUACUUAACAGUCAGCAAAGCGGACACAGUCAGGUCUGCACUACUUUGGUCCAGGAGUCGGGAGGUAGAUGGUUACUGUGAAGCUCCCCACUGUGUGUUGUUGUGUGUGUCUACGUUGCAGUGCAGGAUCCUGGCACUGAUGCUGUAAUGUAAACCUGUGUUUCUAUACGUGUGGUCUGGUUUUUUUGCAGGAACAGGUAACUUGAUCUGGGCGGAAAUGUUGCAGGUCUUUGGGGAAGCUGAGUUGUGUGGUAUUAGCCAAGCUCAUUCUGUAUUCCCUCUGCCUGUAUUAUUUCCCUAGCACCAAGCCAACUAACAGAAACUGUUAGUUUGUAUGCGUUUAAAUAAACAGUAACU